CCAUCGGCCCUUUUCAGGACCACAAAAAUAUCCAUACGUAUAAAA
rfam:Nasonia vitripennis unplaced genomic scaffold ChrTn_0385, whole genome shotgun sequence.